rnacentral:misc_RNA from 1 species
CUACGGAAAAUUAUCUGUAUUUUUAUAAAAAUAUAGAAUCUAUAAAUACAAAACUUUAAAAAUUUAUAUUCUAUUCCAAAUUCUUUUGUUUAAAAAAUAAAAGAAUUUUAGUCAUUCUUUUUAACUCAUUUCCUCCUUGUUUAGUUUUAAUUAAUAUAUUUUAGUCAAUAUAUUUUUUUAAUUUUUUAUCUUCAAUUUUUUAAUUUAUUUUUGCAUAGUUACUAAAAUAGUGCUAUAUAGUUCUGUAAAAAUAAACUUUUUAUAGACGCAAUCAAGUUAAUAGAUAUAAAUUUUAACCCUGUUUAUUAAAAAUUGGAUUAUGUACCUAGUUUUGAGAGCUCUAUUGUUCUCAAAAUUUGUCUAAAUGACAAAAUUUUAGUUCUUUCAAAACUGAAUAGUAACAAUUUUUUUGAUUUUUCGAUCAAAAAAUAUUCCAAUAAUCUUUUAAAAAUUAAACCGAGUUUAUUUUUUUCAUAACUUUUUUAAAGUUAUGAUUAAGAUUAUUUCAAAAUUGUUAAAAUACCUUAAGAUAUAUUAUCUAAAAUAGGCUAUACUCAAAAGAAUAGUUUUGACUUUUUAAAUAAUUAAGAGUAUUUGGUGGAUGCCUUGGGUCUGAAAGUCGAUGAAGGACGUGAUUACCUGCGAUAAGCUUCGUGGAGUUG